rnacentral:rRNA from 1 species
UACGGAGGGUGCAAGCGUUGCUCGGAAUUAUUGGGCGUAAAGGGUAGGUAGGUGGUCUCAUUUGUCUGGGGUGAAAGCCUCGAGCUUAACUCGAGAAGUGCCCCAGAAACGGUGAGACUAGAGUCUUGGAGAGGGUCGUGGAAUUCCUGGUGUAGCGGUGAAAUGCGCAGAUAUCAGGAGGAACACCGGCGGCGAAGGCGGCACUCUGGGCCGGUACUGACGCUGAGGAGCGAAAGCGUGGGUAGCAAACAGG